rnacentral:rRNA from 1 species
UACGUAGGGGGCAAGCGUUGUCCGGAAUCAUUGGGCGUAAAGCGCGUGUAGGCGGUCCGAUUAGUCGGCUGUGAAAGUCAAGGGCUCAACCCUUGAAUGCCGGUCGAUACUGUCGGACUAGAGUCCGGAAGAGGCAAGUGGAAUUCCCGGUGUAGCGGUGAAAUGCGCAGAUAUCGGGAGGAACACCGGUGGCGAAAGCGCCUUGCUGGGUCUGCACUGACACUGAGGGACGAAAGCUAGGGGAGCGAAAGGG